rnacentral:lncRNA from 1 species
CUAGCUAUAUGCAACGGUGAGUUUAGAAGGUUUGAUAGUACUCUGACUGUUGCAUGUAAAAGUAAUGGUAUCGUGAGAAGAUAAAAAUAUCUUGCUUUAUUGUCGGCUGGAUUUGGACUAGUGUCAAUGUUAAACUGUCGCUUCAUAACAAGUACAAUUGGCGUUUUUACGCGAUAACUCGGUCGGUGAGCUUAUCCAUGCGGAGUUUUUCGAAAUCGAGUUUCAGGGUCAGAGGGUAACGUAAUCGACAAGUUCUCUCUGCCAUUCGCACACUUGUGCUUAAGCACCGAUGAUAUGAUGAGUUAACUACCAACCACGUCCUAGGGGCAUGAUUGUGUCAGCCACCUACUAUCUGAUAUAGCAGUCGGCGUGUCUUCACACGCAUCGAACUGCAUUAUAAAAGAGGACAUACCAUUUUUGACAAGUAAGG